UACGGAGGGUGCAAGCGUUAUCCGGAUUCACUGGGUUUAAAGGGAGCGUAGGUGGCUUUGUAAGUCAGUGGUGAAAUCUUAGAGCUUAACUCUAAAACUGCCAUUGAUACUGCUUAGCUUGAAUCACGUCGAGGUGGAUGGAAUAUUACAUGUAGCGGUGAAAAUGCUUAGAUAUGUAAUAGAACACCGAUUGCGAAGGCAGUUCACUAGGCGUGUAUUGACACUUGAGGCUCGAAAAGCGUGGGGGAUCAAACAGG
rnacentral:rRNA from 1 species